rnacentral:rRNA from 1 species
GAUUGUCCCAGCAGCCGCGGAACAUGAAUUCACGCAUGGCCUCGAUUUCCUCGGGACUGAAGUUGGGGCCGCUCAUGGUGCUGCCGAUAGGCACGCGCUUCAUGUUCAUGUAAAGGAACGUGUGUUCGAACAGACGCGGAUCGGUCAGCUCCAGGAAGUCGUAACAAGGUAACCAAUCACUAGU